rnacentral:lncRNA from 1 species
CCGUCUGAGAAGUGAGGAAACCCUCUGCCUGGCAACCGCCCCGUCUGAGAAGUGAGGAGCCCCUCCGUCCGGCAGCCACCCCGUCUGGGAAGUGAGGAGCGUCUCCGCCCGGCAGCCACCCCGUCCGGGAGGGAGGUGGGGGGGGGUCAGCCCCCCGCCCGGCCAGCCGCCCCGUCCGGGAGGGAGGUGGGGGGUCAGCCCCCCGCCCGGCCAGCCGCCCCGUCCGGGAGGGAGGUGGGG